rnacentral:rRNA from 1 species
GUGAGGAAUAUUGGUCAAUGGGCGGGAGCCUGAACCAGCCAAGUCGCGUGAAGGAAGAAGGAUCUAUGGUUCGUAAACUUCUUUUGCAGGGGAAUAAAGUGCAGGACGUGUCCUGUUUUGUAUGUACCCUGAGAAUAAGGAUCGGCUAACUCCGUGCCAGCAGCCGCGGUAAUACGGAGGAUCCGAGCGUUAUCCGGAUUUAUUGGGUUUAAAGGGUGCGUAGGUGGUUUGAUAAGUCAGCGGUGAAAGUUUGCAGCUUAACUGUAAAAAUGCCGUUGAAACUGUCGGACUUGAGUGUAAAUGAGGUAGGCGGAAUGCGUGGUGUAGCGGUGAAAUGCAUAGAUAUAACACAGAACACCAAUUGCGAAGGCAGCUUACUGGGAUGCAACUGACGCUGAGGCACGAAAGCGUGGGGAUCAAACAGGAUUAGAAACCCUGGUAGUCC